rnacentral:lncRNA from 1 species
GACGGGCCAGCGGGCUGGCUAGAACGCCUUGCAACUAUGUUAAUGACUUUGGCCAAGUAACGUUUGAAGUUCAACUGAGCCAGAAUGGACAGAGAUGAGUGCUACUGAAGUGGAAAUGUCUUAAAUCCUGUUUUGUGAUUCCCCGCCUCAGAGCUGAGUCACCCCUGACCGGAAGAAAGGAUCCUUCAUCCCAAGGCUCACUCACUUCUAUCCAAGCCAUCUCAAGCUAAGGGCCAAAGAACCAAGGAACCCCUCCAGCGCCUGGACCUGAAGAUGAAGGGCUGUAACCCCAGCUUCUCAGGAGGACAAGGUGAGAGGAGUUCCAGGUCACUCUGAGAAAUCUAGAGACUCUCAAAAAAAUCAAAAGGAUUGGAAACUUCAAGGAGUCACAGUACAAUGGAUAGCCUACUCAGUGCAGAUGGGUCCCGUGCCCUAGCACCCAAUAGGUAGAUCUCCUGCUUGUCCGUUCCCUAGCAUCCAAUACUGGCAAGAGAGGCAAAGGCCCCAACCUCCUCUGCCUCUCUCCUCACUCCCAUCCCCGACUCAGAGUCUCAGGUUGGUUAAGAACCCCCUAGCCCCACAGGCAGCUGUCCUUUGCACUUAGCCAACCAAGGUGGGGUGGGCAUGACCCCCAUUCUGACUUGUACUUCCUCCCUCUGUUGCCAGGCUUCUAGUUGGCAUUGCUCGCCUGCCACUUCCUCCAUUCCAACUGUCUCUCUUCACUCUGAAACCCAAAGCCUGCUCAAGACCCAGUUGGUUCAGAGAUCAGGUUCAUGUGCCUUGGGAGAGAGUUCUGUUAGUGUGGAAAAUGAGUGCAGCCGGAAGACAAGAAACUGGCCGGGGGUUGGGGGUGGGGUUGGGGGAAGGGAAGAUGACCGAGGAGCCCUCCCCCUUCUCUCUACCCCAUCCCAUGAUUUCCUUUGUCUCCUGUCCCAAUCUCAACCCACCUCCCCACCCCCAGUCUAUGAGCCUGGAGGCUUCCCAAUAAAACAGUAUUGUAACC